UGGAUCUUUCUACAUCCCUGGGGGUACUUCACCUCGGCCUGGUUUGUUUUUGGUAAGGUGGGAGCUGCUUUGCUCAUGACCUCAUCCAGCUGGUGCUCUUGGUAGACCUAGCUAACUCUUGGAAUGAAUUAUGGGUGAGUCGUAUGGAAGAAAGAAACCCAAAGGUCUGAUAUGCCACUUUACUCUCUGUUACAACCUUGUUUUAUAUCCUGCCAAUCGUCAUUGUUGGGUUAUUCCACACAUACUACACUAAACCAGAUGGCUGCACAGAAAACAAAUUCUUCAUCAAUAUUAAUCUGAUUCUCUGUGUUGUAGUUUCCAUUAUAUCCAUCCACCCCAAAAUUCAGGAACAUCAGCCUCGUUCAGGUCUCCUAUAGUCCUCUGUCAUCAUGCUCUACACCUGUACCUCCCUGGUCAGCCAUGACAAAUGAACCUGGUGGUUCCUGCAACUGUGCUGAGAACCAUUACACACAUAGCUUCACCAACCAUGGCUCCUGCAAACUCCACUGCUGUAGUUCCUAUCUCUGCUCUACCAUCAAAGAAGAGGCACUUUCUGGAUGUAGAAAAUCUUCUAGGGCUUACAGUCUUGGUUUUCUGUCUUUUGUAUUCUAGCAUUCGCACUUCCAGCAAUAGCCAAGUGAACAAGCUGACCCCACUCAGGGAGUGACAGCGUGAUCCUUGAUGAUACAGCUGCCAGUGGAGCCAGUGAUGAAUAAGAUGGACAGCCUUGGUGGCCUGUGAACAACGAGAGAGAGGAAGUUCAGUACAGCUACUUGUUUUUCCACUUGAUCCUCUGUUUGGCUUCCUUGUACAUCAUGAUGACACUGAAUAGCUGGUAUAGCCCUGAUGCCAAAUUCCAGAGUGUGUCCAGCAAGUGGCCUGCUGUGUGGGUUAAGAUCAGCUCCAGCUGGGUGUGCCUCCUCUUUUAUGUCUGGACACUUGUGGCUCCAUUCAUCCUCACUAAUAGGGAUUUUAGCUGAACUUCUGAGUUCCAACUAUUGAAGUUACUAAAGGUCUCACCUUUGCUGAAAACCCAUAUCCCUUUUAAGUUUGCUUCAACUAAACUAUUAAGUGAAUGCUUUGCAAAUUUGACUAUAUCCACGUUUAUAUCAAAAAGCAAGA
rnacentral:lncRNA from 1 species